UGAGCGCCUCGGCCCCCAGAUCCAAGAUGGACUGUGAGAAGGCCUGGCUGCGGGCCACCAGGUUUCGGAUCAGCAUACAGGCCUGUUUCUAAAAGGGAGAGCAGAAGGCGCUACAUUGUGACUCAUCAGGCCAGAGGCAUCCCUUCACUUCAUCCUCUCAGCAGCUCUGGAGGCAGGGCUAAUCCCCCAUCUCUCCCAGCCUCCUGUGGGUGUGCCUUCAUGGCUUCCAGUGCAGCCAAAGCCCCACCGCCCUCCACGAUGACCCGGCUGUUCUCCGGCUUGCGCAGGGCCAAGACACACAGGGCUGCGCAGCUCUGUUCACACACCUGCGGGAUGGGUCACAGGGAUGAAUGAGACCAAGCCAACAGGCCCCAAUUAUCAACUCCCCAGCCUCUUUCACUGCUUCCUCUGGCCCCAUCUCAAACUCCUCAAUGUUCUCAAGAACAGCCGCAUCGAAGGUCUCCUGGGUGAU